rnacentral:rRNA from 1 species
AUUGAACGCUGGCGGCAGGCCUAACACAUGCCAGUCGCGCGGUGCGUCGGACGGGUGAGUAAUGCCUAGGAAUCUGUCUGGUAGUGGGGGAUAAUGUCCGGAUACGGGCGCUAAUACCGCAUACUAUCAGAUGAGCCUAGGUCGGAUUAGCUAGUUGGUGGGGUAAAGGCCUACCAGGGGGACGGGCCGUAACUGGUCUGAGAGGAUGAUCAGUCACACUGGAACUGAGACACGGUCCAGACUCCUACGGGAGGCAGCAGUGGGGAAUAUUGGACAAUGGGCGAAAGCCUGAACCAGCCAUGCCGCGUGUGUGAAGAAGGUCGUCGGAUUGUAAAGCACUUUAAGUUGGGAGGCGUUACCUACAGAAUAAGCACCGGCUAACUUCGUGCCAGCCGCCGCGGUAUUC